rnacentral:rRNA from 1 species
UACGUAGGGGGCUAGCGUUGUCCGGAAUCAUUGGGCGUAAAGAGCGUGUAGGCGGUCCGGUAAGCCCGUUGUGAAAGUCAAGGGCUCAACCCUUGAAUGCCGGCGGAUACUGUCGGGCUAGAGUCCGGAAGAGGCAAGUGGAAUUCCCGGUGUAGUGGUGAAAUGCGUAGAUAUCGGGAGGAACACCAGUGGCGAAGGCGGCUUUCUGGCCUGUUCUUGACGCUGAGGCGCGAAAGCUAGGGGAGCAAACGGA